GCAUUCACCAUAUGAGAAAUACUCAGUUGAAAAAAACAGAUGAGAAAAUCAAAGGAGAAAAAAGAGAACUGAGCAAUACCAACUGAAGAAAAAAGAAUUGAAAAUGCAAUGUAGAAUCAGCACAUGAAAAGAAAAAUGACAUUGGCUCUGAACCUAAACCACUUGUUUUCCCUUUUGUUUGUAUUUACCACACCGUAACCCAAG
rnacentral:lncRNA from 1 species